CCUACGGGAGGCAGCAGUGAGGAAUUUUCCGCAAUGGGCGGAAGCCUGACGGAGCAAUACCGCGUGAGGGAUGAAGGAUUUUGGUCUGUAAACCUCUUUUCUCAAGAAAGAAGUUCUGACGGUACUUGAGGAAUAAGCAUCGGCUAACUCCGUGCCAGCAGCCGCGGUAAUACGGGGGAUGCAAGCGUUAUCCGGAAUGAUUGGGCGUAAAGCGCCUGUAGGUUGUUUAUUAAGUCCGUUGUUAAAGCCUAGGGCUCAACCCUAGAAAAGCAAUGGAAACUAGUAGACUAGAGUAUGGCAGGGGUAGAGGGAAUUUCUAGUGUAGCGGUGAAAUGCGUAGAUAUUAGAAAGAACACCGGUGGCGAAAGCGCUCUACUGGACCAUUACUGACACUCAGAGGCGAAAGCUAGGGUAGCAAAAGGGAUUAGAUACCCCUGUAGUCCUAGCCGUAAACGAUGGAUACUAGAUGUUGUGCAUUAUGUACAGUAUCGUAGCUAACGCGUUAAGUAUCCCGCCUGGGGAGUACGCUCGCAAGGGUGAAACUCAAAUGAAUUGACGGCUGNGACGNGCGACGCGACGACGAGGGAGUAGG
rnacentral:rRNA from 1 species